rnacentral:lncRNA from 1 species
GAGAGCCUGGGAAACUGAAUCUUGAGUGAAGUGGAGCAUAGCUGAGAUCCCUAUGAAGCAGAAAACAGUUUCCACAGAGAAAGCUCUCUUCCUGAUGAUUCUAUCCUAAAGAAGAACAAUAGAAAAGGGAAGAAAAAUACUUUCUGCCAACCUAAGGUAUGUUUGUGUGUCUGUGUGUAUCUUUAAAAUGGAUGAUAAAAUUCAGCAGCCUGCAUUUCCAUCUGAGGCACUAAGAACAUGGGUCAGAAAGGCCUCUCUGGCCCUUUACAAACAGAUCUCAGAACAGCAGGGGUGGGGGCAGUUCAAGAGCUGCUCAAUAGCAUAUAAAUCCCAUGAUGAAAUGCCCUCAGGACCCAGCCUGGGAGCCAGCAGUCUGUGUGUGCAGAGGGUAGUUUGGGCAGCAGCCACAAUGAAGAAACAAGGGGACAUUGCAUUCUUGAAAAAUAUCCUGUUAGGACUUGGCUGUCCGACAGCAGAGGAAAAGGCAACGGGUAGCCAUUACUUGUGUUGAUAGAGCAUGGAAGGAUGGUGCAUGUGUGGUGAAAAAAAGUAAUAUAAUCUUGGAUCCAGGAUUCCAGUCCCAGCCCUGCCACUGACUGCUGUGACCUUGGGGAGAGCCUGGGAUUUUAUUUCUUCAUCUAUUAAAAAAAAAAAAAAAAAAGAGGAGGUUAACUUAAAUGAUUUCAAAUUAAUUAAAAAAUCAAUCAAUAAAUAUUUAUUAAGUGUCUACUAUGUUCCAGUUACCGUGCUAGGUGGUAAGAAUACAAAAACAAAACAGUCCUGCCUUCUAGGAACUUACUUUCUAGUGGGGAGGCAAUGUGACUAUAGGCACAUUUGAAAUAGCUAAAGAUAAUUUUAGUGGGGAAGGGGGAAAUUUAGGGGGGAAGGCACUAAUAAUAGCUAACAUUUAGUAUUUAACAAUUAUUCUCUCAUUUGAUUCUGACAAUAAUUCUGGGAGGUAGGUGCUAUGAUUAUCCCCAUUUUACAGAUGAGGAAACUGAGGCAAAUAGAAGUGAUUUGCUAGUAAGGGUCUGAGACUACUUUUGAACUGAGGUCUUCUUGAGUCCAGGCUGAGUGCUCUAUCCACUGUAUCACCUAGCUGCAAUAAUGCACUAUGUACUAACAUGCACUAAUAGGGAGGGGGAAAGAAGGGAGAAAAAGAAAAGGCUUAAUGUAGAAGUCAUCACCUGAGCUGAUUCUUCAAGAAAAGACUCUAAGAAGUAGAGAGAAGGACUGAAGUUAUUUCAAGCAAAAGCAUGGAGAUGGAGUGCCUUAGUGUGAAUAGUAUAGCAAGGAGGUCAAUUCUACUACAUCAUAAAGUACAAACAAGGGAUUAAUGUGUAAUAGGACUGGAAAAUUAGGAAGAAGUCAGAUAGUGAAGAGCUUUAAAUGCCAAAUGGAGAUACUCAUAUUUAAUCCUAGAGGUAUUAGAGAGUCAAAAAAGUUUAUUGAGUAGGAGAGUGACAUAGUCAGAACUUCUCUGUAGAAAAAUAAUUUUAGCAUAGAUAGAUCAAAAUGAAGUUAUUAUAAUUCUUUCUAAAUCUGAUUCUACAGAAGUUGUGCCCAUAGCUCAUCUUAUCUGUUAUACCAACUUGAUUCCUUGCCUCUCCCCUGGGAUUAUAAAGUUAGAGUGAUUCAAAUACUGCCUCAGACAUAUGAGUUUUACAGUGAUAACAGAGAAUAAAAAUCAAUCAAAGAUGCUCUUCUCUUAGAAGUUCAUUCAGAGGAUGAAGACAAGAACCAUGAAAAGAAUGGAAGCCAUAUUAUUCAGAAAUCGUCUGAAGGAACUUGAGGGCAUUCCACCUGGAGAAGAGAAGGUUAGCAGGGAUAGGACAGUUGCUCCAAGUAGUUUAAGGGUUAUCAUGAUGAAAGAGCUGUUGGCUAAGGUCUGUUUGGCCCUAGAGAAACAAUCAUUAGAAAAGGCAGAGAGGUCAAUUUCAUCACAGUAUAAGGAAAAGUCCAUAACUAUCAGAACCAUCUGAAAAUGGGAUCAAGAAGCAAGAGGUUUCUUUUGACUGGAGAUCCUCAGUGGGAGAUGUUUAGUGGAAAUCUCUUUGAGAGCAUUAACUGGAUAGUUUCCUCUAUGAUCCUAUGCUCUCUGAAGUCUGUUCUAACAACCAGAUUUUAUGAUUUCAUUGCUCUACCUUUGCCUUUCUCUAUUGGGAAUGGAUAUUUGAGUAAUUCCACCUGAUUGAAAUCCAACUAGUGCCACACCAGGAUAGCUAGGUGAUGCAGUGGAUAGAGGGUCAAGUUUGGAGUCAGGAAGCCUCCUCUUCCUGAGUUCAAAUCUGGCUUCAGACACUUACUAACUGUGUGUUCCUGGGCAAGUCACUUAACUGUGUUUGCCUCCGUUUCCUCAUCUGGAAAAUGAACUGGAGAAGGAAAUGGUGAACCACUCUACUGUCUUUGCCAAGAAAACUCCAAAUGGAAUCACAAAGAAUUGAACACAAUUGAAACGACUCAACAAGAGUCUAUUCUGAAAACUUAAUGCUGAGAAGUGAAGACUCUUGGGUAUAAGAAUAUUUUUCCUUCAUUAGUGAGUUGGUUCUCAGAGCUUAGCUAGGACUUUAUAAGCCUGUACUUUUUGAUUUAGAAUGGCAGUUCCCAACACUGACUCUCACCUCUGGGGUAUCUCCAAAUACCUCAAGGGGAAGCAGAGAAAAACAUUGUUCUUUUUGUGGCAGAUGACUCAUCAAGGCUUUAAAACAUUUUUUAAUUUAAACUUUUCAAUGAACAAAAAUCUAUUUUCUUUCCCUCCUACCUCCUCCAAAGCUCCUCCAUAUAUAGUUACAUUGAAAAGAAAAAGAAAGAAGAACAAAAUCCUUGUGAUAAAUAUGCCUAGUCAAGAAAAACAUUCCCAUAUUGGCCAUGUCCAAAAUAUAUGUCUCAAUCUGCAUGGGCGAGGGAAAGUGUUAAGUUUUCAAAUGAUGGAAUUUUAACUCAUUUUAGGCUUAAGGAAUUUUUGCACUAGAUCUGUAAUGUCAUCAAGGAGAUUUGGGAGAGAAAACUCCCUCUAGCAAUAUAGAAAUGCACUUACUUUGCAACCUACAGUAUUUUAGGAGUUCUUAAUCUGGAGUCCCUGAAUUUGUUUUUAAGAAAAUUUUUGGUAAGUGUAUUUCAACAUCAUUGAUUUCUUCUGUAAUCUAAUGUAUUUUAUUUUAUGCAUUUGAAACUAUGAUUCUGAGGGGGAGUUCAAUGAUUUUGCCAGACUGACAAAAGUGUCUAUGAUACAGAAAAGAUUAAGAAACCUUAUAUGUGGUGAGGAGAGGGCAUUUAGAGGUUAAAUGACUUGCCUAAACUAGGUGGUUCAGUGGAUAGAAUGUCCAGUCUGGAGUCAGAAAGACUGGUUUUCCUGAUUUCAAAUCUGGCCUCAGACACUGACUAGCUUGUGACCCUGAGAAAGUCAUUUAACCCUGUUUGCCUCAGUUUCCUCAAUAAAAUGGCAAACCACUCCAGUAUCUCUGCCAAGAAAAUCCCAAAUGGAGUCAGGAAGAGUGAGAUAUAAAAGAGUCAAACAGCCAAUGAGGAUGCUUCAGAAAUGGAUCUGAACCCAUAUCUUCCUUACUCCAAAGCAGGAUAUUUAUCCACCACACCAAAGAUUCCCAACUUUUUUUGCUCCUCAUAUAUCUUGGUUUUCAAUAAACAUGAAAGAAAAUAAAUUGUAGAGGUUUGCCAUGUAUAUGCACACAAGAAAUAAAAUCAAUUCAUUUGUCAUGAAGAAAACUUUCUUCCAUUUGUAAUCACAUCUUAACAUCUUUUAAUAUUAUAAAGGCUACUAAAUGUUUAUAUCUAAAUGCAAUCAUAUAAAUCAGUGAGACCCUUGAUCCUGUUUCUUGUUAAUCAAUGGUUCAUAGCCCAAAUUAUAUUUGGUCUUCAGUUCAUUUCUUUCUUUGUAUUUGACUGAGAAUAGAAUGAAGAAUGCUGAUUCAUAGAGACAAGUUGAUAUAAAUAGGAUUAAAGCCUUGUUGAACAUGCUUAACAAGAAUAGGCUAAGAGUACACCAACUUUUUUAUAAUAUCAUUGAUUGGAAAUCAAUUCCAAUUGGAAAGUACUUAGGUCAUCUUUUGCCAGGUUGUUGUCAUUGAUUUUUUUCUAGAUAAACAUAAAAAGGAUUUUGUCACCAAAUUUCAUUCCUUUAGUUUUGGUUACUAGAAAUUAUUUCUUCAGUUCUCUUUUAAAAUUUUCAGAUAUACUAUUCAACCUCCUACUUUCUUUCUUUCUCUCCCACUCUCCUCACCUCUCUCUUACACAUUCUCUCUUCAAACCACAAUUUUUUUUUCACUGUUAUUUUUGAAAUAUUUAAAUAGGAUAAAGGGGUCACUUAUUCAAUAUUCACCAUGGCUCCUUUAUGUUUUUCAUAGCCAAUGGGAAUACAUGUGAUCCCAAUUGGGAGCCUCUGCACCAGACUAUGAGUUUCCACACUUGAAUUUUAUGUAGAUAUUAUUUUUUUGUUGAUGAGUCAUUUUAAUGGUGCUGACUCUUUAUGAUACCAUUUAGGGUUUUUUUUUGGCAAAGAUUCUAGAGUGGUUUGACAUUUUCUUCUCCAGUUCAUUUUAUAAACAAGAAACUGAGGUAAGCAGGGUUAAGUGACCUGCCCAGGCUCACAUAGCUACUAAGUGUCAGAAGCAAGAUUUGAAGAUGUCUUCCUGAGUCCAAACCUAGCACUCUAACCACUGUACUACUUAGCUGCCUGCAGAUAUUAUUACUACCUUACAUUUAAAUCACACUUUCUACUCCUCAAAAUGCUUGCUUCCAUAUUUGAUUUCUAUUUUUUAUUAUUUUAUUCUGAAUUCAGCAAAAAGUAAAUAAAAUGAGCAUUUCCAAACACAAAGAUAGAAAAAGAGGCUUGCACAUGAAACUGAAAGUCUCUAUUAUAUAAUUUGUUUUUCCCUCGAAGAAAAUGAUAAUUUAACAUGCAACUUUCAAAGCUGUCCUGCUUUUCUGUGUUUCCUUUCAGGUUGCCCUCUCUUCUUUUCUGUGCUUGAAUUUUAUUUGAUGACCCUACUUCUAGCUCCUCUUUUCUUCCUAACUUCACUCCACCCCUCACCCCCCCAAAAAAAGUAAAACUCUUGUUACAGAUACAUUUAGUCAAGCAAAAUAAAUUCUUCCAUUGGGUAUUUCACAUCUAUUUUCAUAUCCAAUUCUCCCAAAUCUGUAAACGGUUUUUACUUCUAUUUUUUUCUAAGACUAGAACCAGGUCACUUGACUCUCCAUCUACAGCUCUUCUGACUAGACUGCAUUCCUUUCAGACAGGAUCAAACAAAAUAAUAUAUGUAAAGCACUUUGCAUACCCUAACAAAUGAUAUAAAUAUAAGUUAUUUAUUAUUAUUAUUCUGAAAUCAAACUCUGAUGAGAUGUUUUAGAAUAGUUAGACAUCAGUGAUCAUUCUAGACCACUGAUUUCCCAUGUGGAGGCUUUUAUAUUAUUCUAAGGGUACAUGGUCCUGUGAUUGGAGAGUGGGAAGAUGGGUGACAACCCACCCUCCCCAUGAGGCUUGUCUCCAGCACAAUUAUUCUCCCACUCCACCCCUUCUUACUCUGAAAACUCCCAACCUCUCCCUUAUUGUACUGACAGGGGACCUUCAGGGCGAUAAUCAACUAAAUUUGACUUGGGCUUCCAAAGCAGAAAAAGCUGAAUAGGUGAUGUUAGCAAAAUCCAUCCCACUCCCUGGCGGGGCACCCACACCCUGCCUUCCAGAUCAUCUUGUGACUACAGUAGGAACCCCUCAGCUGGCUCUGUGCCCCUUUGCUGACUCAGGACUCCAGGGCAGUGUCUGGUGAGUAAAAGCUGCUCCCCCAAACCCAUUUUCAUGUUUUGUGCGACACUGAAUUGCUCAGAAUGAGCAGACAUGAGAAGGUUGAAGUCUGUACAUUACAAUAUCUCCCCCUCCAAACUUUUUUCUCUUCCAAAUUUCCCUAUCUCUGUGGAAGACAUCAUCAUCCUUCCAUUCACCUAGGCUCACAAUUCCAGUAUCAUCCUCAACCCACUUGUCCAGCAUAUCGAAUCAUUUGCCAAAUUGUGUUUUUUCUGCCUCCACAACAUCUCUCAAAUCUGCCUUUUCUGUCUACUCACACAGUGGCCAUCCUUACUUCUCUCCUGGUCUAAAAAUAGACUCCAAAUCUCCCUCCCUGACUCAAAUUUCUCUCCUCUCCUGUCCAUCUUUCAUAGUGCUAGCCUAGGAAUUUUCCUAAAAUAUAUGAUCAGUCAUGUAACUUCUCUACUUAAUGCACUCCAAUGUUUUCCCAUUAAUUCUAAGAUUAAAUAUUAGUUCUUUUUUAUGUUAUCCUUUUAAAAACUCAUAUUUUUGUUUAAGUUUUAUAAUGAACGUAAGGAUUAGUCCACUGGUACAUGUGUGUAAUUUUUAAAUAAGUAAAUAACACAUUCAUUUAGGGGUUAUGCUCACAAUUUUCUUUCUUUCUUUUUUUUAAACUAAUGGGAAUGAGAAAUUGAAAACAUUUGGAGACCACUGAUCUUGAGAAUUCAGUUACAAGCAGCAACACUGAGAACCUGCUAUAUUUAGAACCCAUGCAGACAAUGAUGAAAGCCAAGCAACCACCUGUGUAACCUUGUGACAUAUCACUUUACUCCACUUCAGCCUGGGCAUUUGUAAAAUGAUGGGGUUGGCCCAGAUCAACUCUAAAGUCCCUGUCAGUUCUAAGAAUGUGGAGAGUGACCAGAAAACAGAAAUAAUGGUCUUCAUUCCUCAUGAGGCAGACAGAACCAAACUUCACAUGAAAGAAUAUUUAUGAAGGAGUGGCUGGGUGGUGCAAUGGAUAGAACCUCUGGCCUGGAGUUAGGAAGACCUGAGUUCAAAUGCCACCUUGGACAAUACUUAGCUGUGUAACCAUGGAUGCUUACCUCAGUUUCUUCAUCUGUAAAAUGAUCUGGAAGGAAAUAGCAAACCACUCCAGUAUCUUUGCCAAGACAACUCCAAAAUGGGGUCACAGUCAGAUACAAUUGAAAGAACCUACUGACAAAGUAUAAAUUCACUGAUGCAUCUUAAUCCAACAUUAAAAACAAUCUUCAAAUGUAUACGCUGGAUGCUUAAAGUGCGGCAAAGUUCUGGAGUGCUUGAAAAGAUGUUCUCAAGCAGUGAGGGAGGGAACUAGCUUUUAAUCUGAAGCGUGAGUUUUGAAUCAGUGUUCCAAGAAACGACUCAUGUUAAAUGAAGGAUGGGCCAAGAUCUUGUUUGGGGGAGAGGAGGCAGAUGAACCAGUUAGCAAUGGCACAUCACAUCAUAUUCAGUGGAAGCCUGAGACAAUUGUCCCCAGAGAAUCAAAUUCUAACGAAGGUCAUCUCUGUUGAACUCCCAGAAACCUCAACACUGUAGUCAGAAAGGCAGCAAGACAUAGUAGUUAGUGUUGGAUUUGGAACUUGGAGCACAUUGGUUCAAUUAUUAUCUUGGACCCUUGCUGGCAGCAUGAUCCUGGGCAAGACAUUUAACCUAGAAGAGAAUCAGUUUCUUCAUCUGCAAAAUGGGGGCACUUAUCUCUCUGAGUUGCCCUAAGGAUCAGAUGAGCUAAUGUGUGACUUAAAAUCCUAGAUAAAUAUCAGCUCCGGUCUUGAUAACCCUGGGGCUGACUCUAAAGCAGGCAGAUUAAGCUAUUGAGAAGCCUGUGACUGGGUUGCAGUUCCUUCCUAAUUUGGAAAAAAUACCUGGGGUGGAGUAAAGAGUAGCCUGAAGAAAGAGCUGCUCCCAAAUUUUCCUGCCCACAGGAUUAUUCAGACACUCCACCCUUUCCCUCCACUGUAUUACUGUGCUGUCAGGCAUUUUAAAAAUCCAGGGUACUUGGGAACAGGCAAUGGGGAUCCUGGGGAUGGCGGUGUUCUUUUGAUCUGAGCCAUGAAUCAUAUUUGCUCUGAAGGUCUUUGAGACCCACAUGUUCUGCACUGUUUGGUGUAAUAUUCUUCUUUAAAAUGUAAUCUUCUCUGGGAGCAGGUUUCUUGGGGAGCUUCUGGAGGCAGCCUUUGUUUCAGUUCAGUAUAAUGGCCCCAAAUGCAGCCAAGAAUUAAAGUCCAGAUCCUUUAUUGUUUCCUUUUAAGUCUUGUCUCCUUCCUGGGGCCCAGUGAGCUUUCUUAGAGACCUAUCUCUCCCCUUAGUUCCUGCCACUAGUUCUUUUGCCUCUGCCAGCUUCUGUCUCCAGCCAGCAUAAAGGUGGAAAAUAGAAUGAAUCUGUCUCCUCCUCCAAGAGGGGGCUUCUUCUCUUGUGGGCUUGUCGUCCUUUAAGACGACAAGAAGAGACGCUCUCUUAAAGGUGUGAAUCUUGUAUGUAGAACUCUAAUUAGUACUAAGUACAUUAGUGAACUAGAGAACUGUUAAGUACCAUGCUAAAUUAGAUAACUGAUUUAGCACCUUGUAAGAAUCCUAACAGCUUGGGUCUUCCAAUGCUUUUCCACUAACCCAUCUCCAUGUGCUGCCCACACCAAGCUCCUGGGAGCCUCAGCUAAGGGCUGUGGAUCUGGCAGGGUUGAUAGACAUCUCAGUGAUCUAAUGUAACUUUCUUGGUGUUCAAAAGAAAAGAUGCAAUAUAAUGUACAUUAGGAGUACUUGGAUUAAAAUCUUGCCUCUGACACUUCCUAUCUAUGAAUCUGGAUAGAUUUAACCUUUUCAGGCAUUUGCUAGGAUUUGUCUGAAUGCUCAAUUCAGGAGUCCAGGACCUGAGUUCAAUUUCUGGCACUGCUUCAUAUUACCAAUGUAAUAUUGGAUAAGUCUAGGUUUUUCAAUUUCUUCUUCUGGAAAAUGAGGGGGUUUGUUUAAUUCUGAAGAUCCUUCUAGUUCUGUAAUCCCAUAAUCUCCAUUGGUUGUAAUGGGUUGUAAUCUGCAUUAGCGGUGGGUGUUCCCACACUGGGAAUGACUCAUGUUGAUAAAAUCCUGGAUCCUUUCGUUAUAUAAAACAGGCAAACAGACCCAGAGCAAACUCAACCGCCUAUUCCUCCUCUUCCUUUCCUUGUGCCAUAGACAGAAACUAUUCAUUUUGAAUAUAACUGUUAUUUUCAAGACUACUUUUGGUACAUACUUUACAACUAUCAAAUCCUAGUUUUCAUCUCCCAAUCGCCUCAUCCCACUAACUUUUAGGAUGUAGUAAACCCAUAAACAAAGUCUUAAACAAAAUUCACGAGUAACUGGAGCUUCUGCAGCUUUGAAUGGGUUGCAAUUUGCAUCACUGAAGGGAAUACCCAUAAUGAUGAGAUCCACUGGAACACUGAAUUAUUUGCAUACUCACUAUGAAAUGAUAACUCUUGAUCCAACUGGCAAGUUCCUAAAAUGCCUCCUCCUAAAUGAUGACAAGAGGGGAAAAAACAAGCUAACUUCCUUUUAGUUUUGUGCUAAGGAUAGUUUUUUCUAGGCUGGAUUUGUGAUUUUAAUUUCUUUCGUAUUCUAAUUAUCUGAAAACUGGCAAUACAUGCAUAGUAUGGUAUUCUGUUUUUGGGUCAAGGACUCCUUAACGUGGUGCUGCCUAGGUGUUGGAGAUGGGAAUGGAGACCCCAAAAGUUUGGGUUCCCAGAUUCCUGUCAUGAGGUAUCUCAAAAGAAUUUGCAGAUUUGAACCCAUGUCCUAAUCAAAGGGCAAAGUUUUAUUGAAAGUAAUAGUACAUUACAAAGCGGACUGAAUUCUAAGGGAAUCCAGGAAAGAAAUUGAAGCAAGGAGAUACACUUAUCCAGCUUUCAGAUCAUGGAAAUGCUAAUUCUGUGGUUCAUAGUAGGAAGCAGUGGUCUCCAGAAAGAGUGAUUCUUGGUUGUUCAGAUUAUUACUGACAAGAUUACCAGUCAGCAUUGAGGAAUGGUCUUAUUCAUUAUUGUCUCAGGAGUUUGAUCUGUGGGAGUUUCCUGAGGCCAGAAGCUAUGGCAGAUUCCAAAGCCAAAAGACCCAGACCACUGACCCAUUAGAACAGAAGUCCCCCCAAGGUCAGGGGACUGUAAAAUCACAUUAUAUCAUAUAGGGACUCCUCCAAAUAAUGUUUUUAAAUGUGUAAAACAAAUUAUAAGAAUUAUAAAGAAAACCAGUUAUACUGAAAUACAGUAAUCAAAAUAUUUUUCAGAAAAACAGGUUCACACUCUAAUAUAUUAUUGAGGGAAUGGCAAAUUGAUCCAACUAUUCUGGAAAUCAAUUUGGAAGCCAAAUUGCAAUGGAAUUGUGUAUACCCUUUGAUCCAGCAAUACCACUACUAGAUAUGUAUCCCAAAGAUCAUAAAAAGGGGAAAGGACCCACAUAUACAAAGAUGUUUAUAGCAACUCUUUUUGUGGUGGCAAAGAUUGGAAACUGAGUGGAUGCCCAUCAACUGGGGAAUGGCUGAACAAGUUAUAGUAUAUGAAUAUAAUGGAAUAUUAUUGUGCUAUAAGAAAUGAUAAGCAGGCAGAUUUCAGAAAAACCUGGAAAGACUUACAUGAACUGAUGCUGAGUGAAUUGAGCAGAACCAGAACAGUAACAGCAACAUUGUGCUGUGUGUGAUCAGCUUUGGUGGAUUUAGGUCUCCUCAGCAAUGCAAUGAUAAAAGACAAUUCCAAAAGAUCAUGAUGGAAAAUGUUUAUCCCUAUCCAGAGAAAGAAGCAUGGAGCUGAAUGCAGAUUGAAGCAUACUAUUUUAAUUUUUGGAUUUUGGGGUUUUUUUGUCUUUUCUUUCUUGUGAUUUUCCCCUUUUCUUCUUCUUUUCAUUCAUUCAUUCAUCUUUUUCAUUCAUCAUUCAUUUCAUUCAUCUUUUUCAACAUGACUAAUAUGAAAAUGUUUAAUAUUGUACAUGUAUAACCUAUAUCACAUUGCUUGCCAUUUUGAGAGGAGCUAUGGGAAAGUAGUGAAAGAGGGGGGAAGAUAGAACUCAAAAUCUUGUAAAAGUGGAUGUUGAUUAUAUUUCUACCAUGUUUAACAUAUAUUGGACUACUUGCCAUCUAGAGAAGGGCAUGGGGGAAAGGAGGGGAAAUUGGAACACAUAGUUUUCCAAGAGCUAAUGUUAAAAAAUUGUUCAUGCAUAUGUUUUUAUAAACAUAUAAGCAUAUAUGUUUAUGUAUGUAUAAACUUUUUAUUUAAAGCUUUAAUUUUAAAAAGUGAAUGUUGAUGAAGCAAGCAAAACCAGAAAACAUUGUAGACAGCAACAAGAAGAUUGGGUGGAUGAUCAAUUAUGAUGAGAUUUGGUUCUUCUGGGAAAUUCCAGUGAUCCAAAGCAAUUCUAAUAAAUUCGGGAUGGAAUUCAGAGAGAAAACUUUGGAGACUGAAUGUGGAUCAAUGCAUCUAUUUUCACCCUUUUCUUUUUUGUUUUUUUUUUCCCUCAAGGGUUUUCCCUAUUGUUCUGAUUGUUUUCUCCCAACAUGACUCAUAUGGAAAUAUGCAAAACAAUGAAUGUACAUGUAUAAGCUAAAACAAAUUAAAAAUAUUUAAAGAAUAAAAUUAAAAAGCAGAUGUUGAAAACUAUCUUUACAUGAAAUUGGGAAAAAUACAUAAACAUUCUUAAAAAUAAAGUUCACAAACCCUAGAUUAGGAGCCUCUGGAAAAGAAGACUAUUAUCUCUUUAUAUUUUAGAAAUGAGGUCUUUAUCCAAACCCUUGGAUGUAAAAAUUUUUUCCCAGUUUACUGAUUCCCCAAAGUAGACAGUUAUCUACUAAGUCAGUAAUCUCCCUAGAUCUCUUUUUCUUAGGAAGCACUACCCUGCCUAUGUAUCUCAUAGGAUGGUUAUAGAGAUUAGAGUAGAUGUGAAAGUAUUUUGAAGACCACUAAGUGCUAUAAAAUGCAAGUAUUAUGAGUAAUAAUAUUAGUAAUCAUCAUCAUCAUCAUUUCAGAUUGUCCAGAGGAACCAUUAUAGGAAGGAAUGACUUUGGAUAGCUGUAGCAAGAAUUGUAGCAAAUUUGAAAUCAAAAGCCCCAAGUUCAAAUUCCAUCUCUGACAUUUUCUAACUUUGUGAUGAUGGGCAAAUCUUAACCUCAAUGAGCCUCACUUUCCCCAUUUGUGAAAUGAAGCUGAUAAUAAAGUCCUCUAUAACCUGACCUCUUGUUACAUUUCUGGAAUUCUUACACAUUAUUCCCUUUUAUAUGCUCUAAAUACCAGCAGAAGGUGGCAUUCCAUCUCUGGUCUACUUGUGCAACCUGUAUUUCACAUCUGGAAUGCCCUUACUUCUGCCUCUAUUUCUCUGUCUUCCUUCUUCAGGAUGGCACAGUUCUGGCUGUGUGGCCCUGGGCAAGUCACUUCACCCUGUUUGCCUCAGUUUCCUUAUCUGUAAAAUAAGCCAGAGAAGGAAAUGGGAAACCACUCCAGUAUCUUCUUACCCAAAUGGGGUGAAAGAGUUAGACAUGAUUGAAAUGACUGAAUAACAACAAAAACCACCUUCUUCGGGGGGCUUUUCCCUGUCCCCAUACUUUUUGCUUUGCUCCUCAACUGCCAGUGCCUUCCACUCUUAGCUUAUUUUUACAUAAAUUGUACAUAUUAUAUAUCUACCUGGUUGUUGACUUUGCUAUCAGAAUAGGGGCACUUUUUUUUUUCUUUUUUACUCUUUCUUUCCAGUCCCAGCCCUUAGCACAGUACCUGGCACAUAUUAAGUGUUUAAUACAUACUUGCCAUUGUCUCCCUGCCUCAUAGAGCUGUUGUGAUGGAAUGUGAUUUGUAAACCUUAGAAUGCAGGGAAGGAAAGUAUGUGUACAGGUGGAGUAGUGAGAUGGUGAGAACUACUGUUAUUUUUCCUCUACUGAUAACCCUACUCUGAUGCCUGGAAGACACUGGGCAUUUAAAAGCUAGACCAGAAUGAAUCCGAGGAGGAUAAACCUAGCUAAGCGCAGAGAGGCUUAGCACCAAAAGCUUGACCAGGUGACGAUCUUUUUUGACCAUAGUCAUUCAGGCAGCAUGAAAAGACUUCUGUCUGUGUCAGUGGAGGGCAUUUUAGUACUCAUAAAACUAUGAAUAUUUUGAUAUUAUUUUCCCCAUUAUGUUAAUUAAUAUUAAAUAAUUACUAAUUAAUGUUGAAUAAUAUUAAUGUUAAGUAAAAUAUAUUUACUAAGGGCAGUUAGUGCCUACUGGGGAGAUCCCUGAGCCUGUGUUAAGAAAAUUGUGGGUUCCAAUCUGGUCUCAGACACUUAUUAGCUGGGUGAGUCACUUCACCCUGUUUGCCUCAGUUUCCUCAUCUGUAAAAUAAGUUGAAGAAGGAAAUGGCAAAUGACUCCACUGUCUUUGCCUAGAAAACCCAAAUGGGGUUACAGAAAGUUAGACACGACUGAAAAAUGACCGAACAACAAUAACAAUGUGAUUUAUUGCCUUACUCUGGCAUGAUACAUGCCAAUGUAAACAGUAUAAUAUGAUCAAAAGAGUACAGAAUUUGCAAUCAGAGUUCUUGUUUGCAAUCCCAGAUCCAAUCCUUAUUUGUGUGUGUUUGAACAGACACACCACAGACCCCUCUGGACUUGAGGUCAGCAAUACUCUGCUUUAAAUCUUUCCUCUGACACUUUCGGGCCAGUCACUUAAUCCAUGUGCCUCAGUUUUCCCAGCUGUAAAAUGGAAAUAGUAAUAACACCUACCUACCUACCAGGACUAUUAUGAGGAUCAGAUGAUAUUUGUAAAGCACCUAAAUACAAGCAUGAUUAUUGUUAUUUGUCUCUCUGAGCCUCAGUUUCCUUAAUUGUAAAAUGAUGAGAGAGUUGGAUUAUGAUAUAAUGCCAAGCAAUGAGUAGCCCUCUCUUACCAUUCACUGGAUACAUCACGUAGGGCAAUUCACAUCCAUCUUUCUGGCUGACAGUUUUCUCAUGGAUGGCCUCUAAACUCCUUUCUGGCUCCUAAUCUAUGCUCCUCUGAUCCCUUCCAACUUUAAAAUCUUUGCCAGGUUUUCUGAGUAACAAAAUCUUACAAAACCCAUUCCAGCGCUUGGAUAAUCCUGUUUCCUAAGAUUGCUGCCCCCCAGCCGUGCCAUCCUAGCACAUGUGCCCCUUGCAGAUGAGACAGGCGUGUGCAUGGAAGGAACACGUGGGUGCAUGCAAGGCCAGACCGAACAUGUCAGGGGCUCAAACGUGGCAUCUGGGACAGAAGGAGGAAAGGGAAGGGGGAAGGGCAGAAGAACACGGGCUGCGUAUUUUUUUUCCUAAAUCUGUGUUAAUAGUAAACAAAACUUGCUCCCUAAGUCUUUUAAGCAUGCGAUUUUUUAAAGACACAUUAACAUUUUGAUCGAUGGAAAGUUUGUUCACUAGAAAUACAGCUCUGCUUAAAAGCUCUCAAUGAGGCAGUAAGUUUAAAAGUCAUUCUAGUACAAAUGCCUCCUUUACAGAGGAGAAAACUGAAGCAAAGAGGGCAGGUUAGGGAGCUGGAUUACAAACUCUAUCCCCCUUCCCUUCCCCCUCACCCCCCCCCCCCACCCUCCCACUCCCCAUGAUAAAUCAAGUUCUUUCCAUUGUACAGGCUACCAGCUCCAAAGUUGAUCUGACUCAUUCCCUGUGGCCAGAGAGUUCUGGGGAAUGUGGGGGUGGGGUGGGAUGGGGUGGAAGAGGUGAGGAUACCUGGUGGGUGGAAAAUUUCCUAACGUUAAAGGCGGUGUCGGAAGGAGCCCCAGGCCACUGCACUCUUCCCAGGGGAAAUGGUGACUGCCCACACCAUUGCCCCUACCCCACUUUAUUCUUUAAAAAAACGGAGCUAGUUAUCCAAUGCCAAAGGAAACAAGCUAGUCCCACCCCACUAGAAAUGAUGACUGCCCACACUCUUGCCCUUACCCCACUUUAUUCUUUAAAAAAAAUGGAGCCAAUUAUCCAAUACCAAAGGGAACAAUCUAGUUCCACCCCACCCGCUUCACUUCCCUUAAGCAGUAUUUGCAAACCCUUGAUUGCUCUUAGGUACUCGAACCCACAUCCAAGUCUGUUUUUUAAUUGUCUCUUUGCAUUUGCAUCUGAUUAUUUCUUCUCUCUUAUCUAACAGUCCAUCCUUAGAGAGGCUUCAGGGGAGGAGAAAGUUAUCUAGACCACUGUCUUCAAAGGUGGGAUUUGGGGUCUGACCUCAAAGAGUAUGUAUUUCCUUAAGCACAGAUCUAACUCAGUGGAUUCCUAAUACUCUAGAUUAAAACAUAGACUCUUCUAUUUAGCUUUUAAAACCCUCCAAACCCAGCCCAAAUCUAUUUUUCCGGACUCAUCUGGAAAUUACUAUCCAUCCCACACUCUUCAAUAGAGCCACAUUGGCCUUCUCUUAUUUUUCUCACAUCCUUGUUGCACUAUUUAUUCAUCAGGAUUAGAGUGCACUACUUUUUUAAUUCAUCUCUUCCUAAAAUAACUCAAGUACCAUCUUCCGUGCGAAGUUUUCUUGAUCGCCUUCUAAUUUUGUAUUUAUUUACUUUAUCAUGUGCAUAUAUACCUAUACACACUUGUAUAUGCACAGGUAUAUACACACAUUUAUAUUAUAGAUAUGCGUAUUCACAAAAUAUACACUUAUACAUAUAUAGGGGGAGGAGAAGAGGGAAGAGAGAGAAUCUCUUGCUCUUAGACUGUAAUCUCCUUGCCCGCCUGCCUACUUUUGGCCAUUGUAUCAUCUCCCCAGUCCUAGGAGAGUGCCUGGCAUAUAAUGGGUUCUAAACAAAUACUUGUUUAAGAUAAUUCCAAUAGACGAGAUGGAAAAUGUCAUCCUCAUCGAGAGAGAACUAUGGAGAUUGAAGGUGGAAGGAAGAAUAAUACUUUCACCUUUUUGUUUGAUUGCUUUUUCUUUCUUGUGGUUUUUUUCUCUUUUGUUCUGAUUUUUCUCGCACAUGACAAAUAUGGAAAUAUGUUUAAAAGUUUGCACAUAUUUAACCUACUUAUUAACCUAUUGCUUGUUGGGAAGGAGAAAGAAAAAAAUGGAAUACAAAGUCUUACAAAAAUGAAUAUUGAAAACUAUUUUUACAUGUGUUUGGAAAAAUAAAAUCCUAGCUAUACCCAGAAAAAGAACUCUGGGAGAUGACUAAAAACCAUUACAUUGAAUUCCCAGUCCCUAUAUUUAUGCCCACCUGCAUCUUUGAUUUCCUUCACAAGCUAAUUGUACAAUAAUUCAGAGUCUGAUUCUUUUUGUACAGCAAAAUAAUGAUGUGGUCAUGUAUACUUAUUGUGUAUCUAAAUUAUAUUUUAAUAUAUUUAACAUCUACUGGUCAUCCUGCCAUUUAGGGGGUGGGGGGGGGUAAGAGGUGAAAAAUUGGAACAAGAGGUUUGGCAAUUGUUAAUGCUGUAAAGUU